rnacentral:rRNA from 1 species
UGCAAGUCGAACGCUGAAGCACCAGCUUGCUGGUGUGGAUGAGUGGCGAACGGGUGAGUAAUACGUGAGUAACCUGCCCUUGACUCUGGGAUAAGCCCGGGAAACUGGGUCUAAUACUGGAUGCUACAUGUCACCGCAUGGUGGUGUGUGGAAAGGGUUUACUGGUCUUGGAUGGGCUCACGGCCUAUCAGCUUGUUGGUGAGGUAAUGGCUCACCAAGGCGACGACGGGUAGCCGGCCUGAGAGGGUGACCGGCCACACUGGGACUGAGACACGGCCCAGACUCCUACGGGAGGCAGCAGUGGGGAAUAUUGCACAAUGGGCGAAAGCCUGAUGCAGCGACGCCGCGUGAGGGAUGACGGCCUUCGGGUUGUAAACCUCUUUCAGCAGGGAAGAAGCCACAAGUGACGGUACCUGCAGAAGAAGCGCCGGCUAACUACGUGCCAGCAGCCGCGGUAAUACGUAGGGCGCAAGCGUUGUCCGGAAUUAUUGGGCGUAAAGAGCUCGUAGGCGGUUUGUCGCGUCUGCUGUGAAAGCCCGGGGCUUAACCCCGGGUGUGCAGUGGGUACGGGCAGACUAGAGUGCAGUAGGGGAGACUGGAAUUCCUGGUGUAGCGGUGGAAUGCGCAGAUAUCAGGAGGAACACCGAUGGCGAAGGCAGGUCUCUGGGCUGUUACUGACGCUGAGGAGCGAAAGCAUGGGGAGCGAACAGGAUUAGAUACCCUGGUAGUCCAUGCCGUAAACGUUGGGCACUAGGUGUGGGGGACAUUCCACGUUUUCCGCGCCGUAGCUAACGCAUUAAGUGCCCCGCCUGGGGAGUACGGCCGCAAGGCUAAAACUCAAAGGAAUUGACGGGGGCCCGCACAAGCGGCGGAGCAUGCGGAUUAAUUCGAUGCAACGCGAAGAACCUUACCAAGGCUUGACAUAUACCGGAUCGUUCCAGAGAUGGUUCUUCCCCUUUGGGGUCGG